GACGGGGGGUCCUAGCGUUGUUCGGAAUCAUUGGGCGUAAAGCGUGUGCAGGUGGUUCUGUAAGUUAGAUGUGAAAGCCUUGGGCUUAACCCAAGAAGUGCAUUUAAAACUACAAAACUUGAGUAUGGAAGAGGGUCGUGGAAUUCCAGGUGUAGUGGUGAAAUACGUAGAUAUCUGGAGGAACACCGGUGGCGAAGGCGGCGACCUGGUCCUAUACUGACACUCAUACACGAAAGCGUGGGGAUCAAACAGGG
rnacentral:rRNA from 1 species